UGAAGCUAGAUCAAGGAAAAGAAAAAGUUCAAGAUCAAUAGGUUUGUGUAUACGAACAAGUAUCGAGUGUUAAGAGCCCGGAGGUCGAAUUCGGUUGGAGAUACAUCACACUAUCAACCUCAAGAUUUCGGUAUAUCAAUAAACUUUAUUUUGGAAAUCAAUGGCAUGUAUAAGCUAAUAAAGUAAAUGUUAAUGUGAUAUGAAUGUAAGGUCAGCCAUUGGUAUGGUUAACAAAUCUUGGUUUUGGUAUGUGAUGAAGUUAUCUUAUAAAAAUGCAUGAAUCUAUCUUGAAAA